rnacentral:rRNA from 1 species
CCUACGGGAGGCAGCAGUGAGGAAUAUUGGUCAAUGGGCGCAAGCCUGAACCAGCCAAGCCGCGUGAAGGAUGAAUGUCCUACGGGCUGUAAACCCCUUUUGCAAGGGAAUAAAGUGAGGUACGUGUGCCGUUUUGUAUGUACUUUAUGUAUAAGGAUCGGCUAACUCCGUGCCAGCAGCCGCGGUAAUACGGAGGGUCCGAGCGUUAUCCGGAUUUAUUGGGCUUAAAGGGGGCGUAGAGGGGUUGUUAAGUCAGGUGUGAAAGUUUGGGGCUCAACCGUAGAAUUGCCAUUGAUACUGGCAGGCUUGAGUGCAGGUGAGGUAGGCGGAAUUCGUGGUGUAGCGGUGAAAUGCUUAGAUAUCACGAAGAACUCCGAUUGCGAAGGCAGCUUACUAAACUGCCACUGACGUUGAUGCUCGAAAGUGUGGGUAUCAAACAGGAUUAGAUACCCUUGUAGUC